rnacentral:rRNA from 1 species
UACGGAGGAUGCAAGCGUUAUCCGGAUUUAUUGGGUUUAAAGGGUGCGUAGGCGGAUGAUUAAGCGUGAGGUGAAAUGCCACUGCUCAACAGUGGAACUGCCUCGCGAACUGGUUGUCUGGAAUGCCCCUGCCGUGGGAGGAAUGUGUGGUGUAGCGGUGAAAUGCAUAGAGAUCACACAGAACACCGAUUGCGAAGGCAUCUCACGAAGGGGUGAUUGACGCUGAGGCACGAAAGCGUGGGGAUCAAAC